AUGCCUAAUACAUGCAAGUCGAGCGAAUGGAUUAAGAGCUUGCUCUUAUGAAGUUAGCGGCGGACGGGUGAGUAACACGUGGGUAACCUGCCCAUAAGACUGGGAUAACUCCGGGAAACCGGGGCUAAUACCGGAUAACAUUUUGAACCGCAUGGUUCGAAAUUGAAAGGCGGCUUCGGCUGUCACUUAUGGAUGGACCCGCGUCGCAUUAGCUAGUUGGUGAGGUAACGGCUCACCAAGGCAACGAUGCGUAGCCGACCUGAGAGGGUGAUACGGCCACACUGGGACUGAGACACGGCCCAGACUCCUACGGGAGGCAGCAGUAGGGAAUCUUCCGCAAUGGACGAAAGUCUGACGGAGCAACGCCGCGUGAGUGAUGAAGGCUUUCGGGUCGUAAAACUCUGUUGUUAGGGAAGAACAAGUGCUAGUUGAAUAAGCUGGCACCUUGACGGUACCUAACCAGAAAGCCACGGCUAACUACGUGCCAGCAGACCGCGGUAAUACGUAGGUGGCAAGCGUUAUCCGGAAUUAUUGGGCGUAA
rnacentral:rRNA from 1 species